rnacentral:rRNA from 1 species
GACGAACGCUGGCGGUGUGCUUAACACAUGCAAGUCGAACGGAAAGGCCCUGCUUUUGUGGGGUGCUCGAGUGGCGAACGGGUGAGUAACACGUGAGUAACCUGCCCUUGACUUUGGGAUAACUUCAGGAAACUGGGGCUAAUACCGGAUAGGAGCUCCUGCUGCAUGGUGGGGGUUGGAAAGUUUCGGCGGUUGGGGAUGGACUCGCGGCUUAUCAGCUUGUUGGUGGGGUAGUGGCUUACCAAGGCUUUGACGGGUAGCCGGCCUGAGAGGGUGACCGGCCACAUUGGGACUGAGAUACGGCCCAGACUCCUACGGGAGGCAGCAGUGGGGAAUAUUGCACAAUGGGCGGAAGCCUGAUGCAGCAACGCCGCGUGCGGGAUGACGGCCUUCGGGUUGUAAACCGCUUUCGCCUGUGACGAAGCGUGAGUGACGGUAAUGGGUAAAGAAGCACCGGCUACUACGUG